rnacentral:lncRNA from 1 species
GCCUGGCUCUUGAUGUUUUGAUUUGAUGUUUUCAGGUUUCUUCGAAGGAAGCCGAGUGUUUUGUUGGCUUUCGAGAUAUUGUCAUCUAUGUGUUUGUCCCAUUUAAGGUUUGAUUGUAAUGUGAUGCCUAAGUAUUUAGCAGAUGUAACAGUUUCUAAAAUAUGAUUGUGAAGAGUGUAAUUAUGUUGUAAAGGUUGAAGUUUAGUUGUGACAGAGAGAACAUUACACUUGUCUGGGUGGAAGGCCAUCAGCCAGUCCUCUUCCCAUUUUGCAGCUGCAUCAAGGUCAGCU